UCUAUUCUUUAAGGAACCUAAGAUUAUUUAAUAAUAUAACAUUUCGAGUGAUUUAUAGUUGAAAUCUAAGAGAAGUUUAAAAGACAAGUUCUUGCGUACUGUGUUAGAAUAAUAUAAUAUACAAAGUAUGAAAGUACCGACUGCAGCGCCACUGCCGGGCUGAUUUGUAAUUCUAAACCAUCUCAGGCGCCAUCCAAACAUAUACUAAAAAUUCAUUCAAAUCGGUCCAGUCGUUUAAGAGGAGUUCGGUAACUUACACACGUACAAUUGAGUUAUAUAUAUAAAGAUAUUCACUAAUAUUCUUAAUGCCUACACCAGGUUCAAGAUAUGCGUGCGGCUGUCAGUAACGAUGGGUGUGAGUUGGAUAUGGGAAGUGAUUAGUUUCCUGGUACCAGCUGCUGAUGAGUUUGCCCUGUACCUUGACCUGUAUAAUGGCUGCAUUGGAUUCUUGAUCUUCCUCAUCUUCGUUUGCAAUAGACGCAAACUAGCUCACCUCAAAGCAAGAUUUCAAUCAUGGCGUCAACCGAAAUCUUUCAAUCAGAAUACGAGUAACGAUUCGCAAGCUGUGGCGAUGAAGAGAUUGGACAACUCUUUAAGCACUGUCGAGUUUUAGAAAUAAGUUUUGACUGAUUUACUUACAUUUUAAGUUUUAUUACUUUAAAUAUUAUACCAUGGCCAA